rnacentral:rRNA from 1 species
AGAACGAACGCUGGCGGCAGGCCUCAAACAUGCAAGUCUAGGGGGUGUAGCAAUACAUCACCGGCGGACGGGUGCGUAACGCGUGGGAAUAUACCUAUUGGUUCGGAACAACUGAGGGAAACUUCAGCUAAUACCGAAUGUGCCCUAACGGGGAAAGAUUUAUCGCCAAUGGAUUAGCCCGCGUUCGAUUAGCUAGUUGGUGGGGUAACGGCCCACCAAGGCGACGAUCGAUAGCUGUUCUGAGAGGAAGAUCAGCCACACUGGGACUGAGACACGGCCCAGACUCCUACGGGAGGCAGCAGUUGGGAAUCUUGGACAAUGGGGGAAACCCUGAUCCAGCCAUGCCGCGUGAGUGAUGAAGGCCUUCGGGUUGUAAAACUCUUUCGCGCACGACGAUAAUGACGGUAGUGCGAGAAGAAGCUCCGGCUAACUUCGUGCCAGCAGCCGC